AAGGCUUUAAGUUAAAUAAACUAAUAACCUUCAAAGCUAUCAAUAAAGAAAAUAAAUUCUUUAAGUCUUA
rnacentral:tRNA from 1 species